AGUGGUACGUGAGCUGGGUUCAGACCGUCGUGAGACAGGUCGGUCCCUAUCUGCUGUGGGCGCACGAAACUUGAGGAGGAUCUUCUUUAGUACGAGAGGAUUUAGAAGGACGAACCUCUGGUGUCCCAGUUGUCACGCUAGUGGCACGGCUGGAUAGCUAAGUUCGGAAAGGAUAAACGCUGAAAGCAUCUAAGCGUGAAGCCCUCUCCAAGAUUAGGUUUCGUAGCAAUAGCGAAAGUCCCCUGGUAGACUACCAGGUUGAUA
rnacentral:misc_RNA from 1 species